UGUAUUUAAGUUUCGUAUAAUUGGGUCCAACCACAAAGUUCUUUAUAAAUUACAAACCCAAUUCUUUUAUCUUUGGUUUGAACAUACGUAUAAGAGACCGACCAAUAGUCGCAUGAAUACGAUCGCCCUAGAAAAAAAAUUCAUAAUUAAUAUUGAGUCAGACAAAUACUCAGUUGUACGGUGUUGUCACAGAGUAUAUUAAACAAUGAAGCAUCAAUGGGUAAAACAUAAUAUGUGAAUGCUUGACUUUCCAAAAUAACACAUACAACAUAUUUGAUGGUAAAUACUAAUCUAAAUUGCAGUUGAUUAAAUACAUGUUUAACCUAAUGAAUUUCAUAGUACAAAGAAGAAGAUGGGAUUGUAGUCAAUUUUUAUGAAAAAAUAAGUGCAACUAAAAAAGAAUGCACCUUUUCGUCUUGAAUAAUUAAUUCAAGGGAGACGGUGUUGUCUGGUUUGUCGCGGUUUGAAACGUGCCAUAAUCUCACUAUUCGUACCUUCAAAUUCCAACUCAUCUUGUUACUCAAUAUAUUGCAAAUAUAGCCAAAUGCCGUCAUAUUUCUUUUUAGAAAAAACUUUAUAAGAGGAUUGUCUGUCAAAUGCCGUCAUAUAUAUAUAUAUAUACAUACAUAUACGGAAUGCAAUAAUUUUUGUAUGGAAAAAUAAACCCUAAAUAGUAAGUAAGUACAAAAAAAUUCAGUUACUAUAUAUCUAUAGAUAUAUACGGAAUGCAGUAAUUUUUGUAUGGAAAAAUAAUUUUCCAUAAAAAGAUCCUAGAGGCAUAUGCAUUUGGGAUUCCCCAAUUAGGUGUUAUCCCAAAAUACCUGGCGUAGAUGUCGUCGUCUCCUAAACUACACAUCUCUCCAGAAUCCAGAUGCGAAAAAGAUGAGAAAAAAUGACCGAAAAAAUCAUCUUCACAUUUGAAUGUCUCCUCGCGUUGGACUAAUUUCACAUUUGACGACAUUUCACAUUUGGACUAAUUUCCCAUUUGAAUGUCUUCUCUUCUCCCUCUGUAUCCCAAUCCAACAAAAUUGUGGAACCGAUCAAAAUGCUUAGGUUUAAGCUUUUCCAGGUUCCCAAUAUUACGCG
rnacentral:lncRNA from 1 species